GCCGGGCAUUGUGGCGCACGCCUGUGAUCCUAGUAGCUCAGGAGGCUGAGACAGGAGGAUCGCAAGUUCAAAUCCAGCCUCUGCAAAAGUGAGAUGCUAAGCAACUCAGUGAGACCCCGUCUCUA
rnacentral:sRNA from 1 species